rnacentral:rRNA from 1 species
AAUGAACGUUGGCGGCGUGGAUUAGGCAUGCAAGUCGUGCGGCAGCAGGCCCCGCAAGGGGUGCUGGCGAGCGGCGAAAGGGAUAGUAAUGUGUGGAUACCUGCCCUGGGGACGGGGAUAGCUGCUGGAAACGGCAAUUAAUACCCGAUGAUGUCUCCGGACCAAAGGUGUAAUUCCGCCCUAGGAGGGGUCCACAUCCUAUUAGCUAGUUGGUGAGGUAACGGGUCACCAAGGCCACGAUGGGUAGCGGGUGUGAGAGCACGACCCGCAUCCCUGGGACUGAGACACUGCCCAGACACCUACGGGUGGCUGCAGUCGAGGAUCUUCGGCAAUGAGCGAAAGCUUGACCGAGCGACGCCGCGUGCGGGAUGAAGGCCUUCGGGUUGUAAACCGCUUUCGGAGGGGAGGAAAUCUAGGGGGGAUCACCCUUCUAGUUGACCUAUCCUAGGAAGAAGGACGGGCUAAGUUCGUGCCAGCCGCCGCAGUAAGAC